CGGUCCUAAGGUAGCGAAAUUCCUUGUCGGGUAAGUUCCGACCUGCACGAAUGGCGUAAUGAUGGCCAGGCUGUCUCCACCCGAGACUCAGUGAAAUUGAACUCGCUGUGAAGAUGCAGUGUACCCGCGGCAAGACGGAAAGACCCCGUGAACCUUUACUAUAGCUUGACACUGAACAUUGAGCCUUGAUGUGUAGGAUAGGUGGGAGGCUUGGAAGUGUGGACGCCAGUCUGCAUGGAGCCGACCUUGAAAUACCACCCUUUAAUGUUUGAUGUUCUAACGUUGACCCGUAAUCCGGGUUGCGGACAGUGUCUGGUGGGUAGUUUGACUGGGGCGGUCUCCUCCUAAAGAGUAACGGAGGAGCACGAAGGUUGGCUAAUCCUGGUCGGACAUCAGGAGGUUAGUGCAAUGGCAUAAGCCAGCUUGACUGCGAGCGUGACGGCGCGAGCAGGUGCGAAAGCAGGUCAUAGUGAUCCGGUGGUUCUGAAUGGAAGGGCCAUCGCUCAACGGAUAAAAGGUACUCUGGGGAUAACAGGCUGAUACCGCCCAAGAGUUCAUAUCGACGGCGGUGUUUGGCACCUCGAUGUCGGCUCAUCACAUCCUGGGGCUGAAGUAGGUCCCAAGGGUAUGGCUGUUCGCCAUUUAAAGUGGUACGCGAGCUGGGUUUAGAACGUCGUGAGACAGUUCGGUCCCUAUCUGCCGUGGGCGCUGGAGAACUGAGGGGGGCUGCUCCUAGUACGAGAGGACCGGAGUGGACGCAUCACUGGUGUUCGGGUUGUCAUGCCAAUGGCACUGCCCGGUAGCUAAAUGCGGAAGAGAUAAGUGCUGAAAGCAUCUAAGCACGAAACUUGCCCCGAGAUGAGUUCUCCCUGACUCCUUGAGAGUCCUGAAGGAACGUUGAAGACGACGACGUUGAUAGGCCGGGUGUGUAAGCGCAGCGAUGCGUUGAGCUAACCGGUACUAAUGAACCGUGAGGCUUAACCUU
rnacentral:rRNA from 1 species